GAAACAUUCACAGUCAAACAGGAAGAUCUGCAGGAACAAACAGAGAGAAUGAAAAAACCCAAACAAAAGCCUUGCCAUAAUUGUGGGGCUUUAAAUGUUUCAAACUGCAAAACGUGCAGAAAUUGUUUUGCUGCCAUUGCUUUAAAAGCAAGCAUCAUGGCAAAACAAAAAAACAUUGAGGAGUCGUCAUGGGCAGCAAACAACAAAAAACACAGGAAUGCUGCCCGUGUUGUAGAUUCUGCCCGCACUGCUAAUGCCAAGUACAUUCCAACCAGAAAACCUUUCCAUAUGACAGGAUUGUGAAAAGGAGGAUGUCCAAAGAAGGUGUUGAAGAGGCCAGAGUCAGAUGGAAGCCGUGUUCUGGAUGUGGGAUGAAAUGGAAAGACUCCUGGGAGCCAUUAAAUCACUUUUUGUAAAAUACAGUGGGUUAUAAAAAAGGAAUGCUUUUAAAAAAAGAUUUGUCUACUGCUGUUGUAGCUAUUUUCAGUGCAGGUCUAGUUUUUGUUUGUUGUUUUAAAUCUACUUUAACUCAGCACAUGUUUAAACCCACGUUUUGAAAUUGUAUUUUGUUUUAUUUUUUGAAUUGUAUUAUAAUAAAUUUUUCUGUUAACCUAGAGUAAAGCCUUCCACGCACAAAGAUAACCACUUACAGUAUUUUCAUCUAUGUCAUAUUUGCAGCCAGUAAAGACACUAAAUCCCUCGGCAAAA